UGGCAGAUGGAGAAUCGGACUCGCUCCUGACGUGGGACCUCCCUCUGAACCCCCACUCUGGUCUGGCAGGGUCUGGGCCUCCCAGCAGGGACACAGUUCAGCGGCUCCCUGCAGGCCGCAGGUGGGGAAGCCAAGGUGGCAGGGACCCUCACAUCGGCCAGUGGGACAGCCUCCCUGACCUUGACAGCGGUCGUGCACCAGUCCGAGGCCACGCUUCGAGUGAAACUGAGUCACAGGCUGUCUGCACUGCAGGCCGUCCCCCCAGAGACCUUGCUGACCGUCCGGCUCCGGUGGGAGGCCGGGCACCGGCUGGGUCUGGAGCUGCAGGUGGGGGCCUGUGAGCUGCAGGGCGAUGGUGAGCUGCACCUGGACCACGGGCUGCAGUGGCGGGUGCUGGCCGAGAGCUCCUGCGAGGCUCUGCAGGCGCUGGGGGUCCCGGGCCGAGUCAGCAGCUCCGGGGAUGUUGUGCUGAGCUCCGUGGCUGUGGACGCCCAGGUGCUGGUCGCCGUGAACAAUAGCACGCUGCGGGGGGUGCUCAUCCUCAAGACGACCGAGGUGAGGGCACGGGUAUCGGGGUGCCUGUGGCCGCCUGGGAAGGGGUGCUGAGGCCCGAGAAGCCCUGGACACUCUCCUAGCUCCAGAGACCCUGGGAGAUGGAAGACUCGAGACCCAGACGUGGAGGAAUGAGGCUUCCAAGAAGCAGCCUCUCGCCCCAUUUCCCUUGGUCAUUUGCUUUGAAAAAUAAUUUUUUUUUAAUGAAGUACAACCCGAAUAUUGUGCGAGUGCGGACAUGAAAAAUGCUCAGCUUGGUGAGAUUUUUGCAAACCAAACACCACCCACCUCCAAGCACAGAAGGUGACCAGAAGCCCCCGCGGGCUCCCUUGCUCGUCGCAGCCACACGCAAGGGCCCUCCCCCCGACACGAGUUCCUGAAUGUCACAUCUGCAGAAGCACACGGCACAUUCCUUUGCACAUCUGCUUCCUCUUGUCCAACAUCACGCUUGCACAGGUCGCCCUGGUGGCGGGGUUGGUCCAGCUCCUGCCUCUUGGUUUCAGCUCAGCUCAUUGAUCCCGGGGUUGUGAGAUCGAGCCCCACGCUCGGCUCUAUGCUCGCUCGGCGUGAGAAGACUUUCUCUCCCUCUCCUCCUCCCUCCUCCCCUGGAAUACAGGAGUAAACCUUAAAAGACAGAGGGAAAAUACUCAUUGUGUUUGUGGGAUUGGCCCAUGCCUCACUGUCUUUUCCGCUUCACUGUCGACUAGUAACCCACAGGGUGUGUGUCUCACCAGUCCUCCAUCCAUUCUACUGAUUAGCUUUUGGGUGGCGUCUUCUUUCUACUGUACAUCGUGUUAGUUAACUGUGCACCUGUUUUAUUUUGUUGUAAAAAUUUUUUAUCGUGGUAAGAUACAUAUAAAAUUUUCCAUCGUCACCAUUUUUUUGUUUAAAGAUUUUAUUUAUUUAUUCAUGAAAGAAAGAGAGGCAGAGACACAGGCAGAGGGAGAAGCAGGCUCCAUGCAGGGAGCCCGACGCAGGACUCGAUCCCGGGACUCCAGGAUCACGCCUGGAGCCAAAGGCAGGUGCUAAACCGCUGAGCCACCCAGGGAUCUCCCCAUUUUUUUUAAGUCUAGAGUUCAGUGGUCUUCAGAACAUUCACCUUGUUGGGCAACCAUCCCCACCAUCCGUCUCUAGAACUCUCUUCAUAUUGCACAACUGAAACUCUGUCCCCGUUACACACCAACUCCCCAUUCACUGCUCCCCCGAGCCCCUGGCAACCACCCUUCUACUGAGCACUCUGGGUACCUCCAAGAAGUGGAAUCACACAGUGUCUGUCUUCCUGUGACUUUCACUGAGCAUCACAUUCCCAAGGUUCAUCUGUGUUGUAGAAGGUGUCGGAAUGUUCUUCCUUUUUUUAAAAAUUUUUUUGAGAUUUUAUUUAUUUAUUCAUGAGACACAGAGAGAGAGAGGCAGAGACACAGGCAGAGGGAGAAGCAGGCUCCCUGAGGGGAUCCCAGGACUCUGGGAUCAGGACUUGAGCCAAGGCAGACGCUCAACCACCCAGAAUGUUCUUCCUUUUUACGGCUGAGUAAUACCGUGUUGUAAGGACAGACCACUCUGUGUUCAUCCACCAUCCAUCCUCCGACGCUCGGGUUGCUCCCACCCCUUGGCUGUUG
rnacentral:lncRNA from 1 species